rnacentral:rRNA from 1 species
UACAGAGGGUCUCAAGCGUUGUUCGGAUUCAUUGGGCGUAAAGGGUGCGUAGGCGGCGCGGUAAGUCGGGUGUGAAAUCUCGGAGCUUAACUCCGAAACUGCAUUCGAGUACUGCCGUGCUUGAGGACUGGAGAGGAGACUGGAAUUUACGGUGUAGCGGUGAAAUGCGCAGAUAUCAGGAGGAACACCAGUAGCGAAGGCGGCUCGCUGGGCCAUUCCUGACGCUGAGACGCGAAAGCUAGGGGAGCGAACAGG